UACGGAGGAUCCAAGCGUUAUCCGGAUUUAUUGGGUUUAAAGGGUGCGUAGGCGGCUUAUUAAGUCAGUGGUGAAAGCCUGCAGCUUAACUGCAGAAUUGCCAUUGAUACUGAUGAGCUUGAAUAUACUUGAGGUGGGCGGAAUGUGUCAUGUAGCGGUGAAAUGCUUAGAUAUGACACAGAACACCGAUUGCGAAGGCAGCUCGCUAAAGUAUGAUUGACGCUGAUGCACGAAAGCGUGGGGAGCAAACAGGAUUAGAAACCCCCGUAGUCC
rnacentral:rRNA from 1 species